GAAACUUGCCCCGAGAUGAGUUCUCCCUGAGACUUUAAGUCUCCUGAAGGAACGUUGAAGACGACGACGUUGAUAGGCCGGGUGUGUAAGCGCAGCGAUGCGUUGAGCUAACCGGUACUAAUGAACCGUGAGGCUUAACCUUACAACGCCGAAGCUGUU
rnacentral:rRNA from 1 species